GUGCUCACUUCAGCAGCACAAAUACUAAAAUUGGAACAAUACAGAGAUUAGCACGGCCCCUGUGCAAGGAUGACACGCAAAUUCAUGAAAGCGUUCCAUAUUUUU